rnacentral:rRNA from 1 species
AGUUGUAUCCUGGCUCAGGACGAACGCUGGCGGCGUGCCUAAUACAUGCAAGUCGAGCGGAGAAAUGGGAGCUUGCUCCCAUUUCUCAGCGGCGGACGGGUGAGUAACACGUGGGCAACCUGCCCUGCAGACUGGGAUAACUCCGGGAAACCGGAGCUAAUACCGGGUAAUACAUAGCAUCGCAUGAUGCAACGUUGAAAGUUGGCCUUUGGCUAACACUGUAGGAUGGGCCCGCGGCGCAUUAGCUAGUUGGUAAGGUAACGGCUUACCAAGGCCACGAUGCGUAGCCGACCUGAGAGGGUGAUCGGCCACACUGGGACUGAGACACGGCCCAGACUCCUACGGGAGGCAGCAGUAGGGAAUCUUCCGCAAUGGACGAAAGUCUGACGGAGCAACGCCGCGUGAGUGACGAAGGCCUUCGGGUCGUAAAGCUCUGUUGUUAGGGAAGAACAAUGACCGUUCGAAUAGGGCGGUACCUUGACGGUACCUAACCAGAAAGCCACGGCUAACUACGUGCCAGCAGCCGCGGUAAUACGUAGGUGGCAAGCGUUGUCCGGAAUUAUUGGGCGUAAAGCGCGCGCAGGCGGUCUCUUAAGUCUGAUGUGAAAGCCCACGGCUCAACCGUGGAGGGCCAUUGGAAACUGGGGGACUUGAGUGCAGAAGAGGAGAGUGGAAUUCCACGUGUAGCGGUGAAAUGCGUANAUAUGUGGAGGAACACCA